UACGUAGGGUGCGAGCGUUGUCCGGAAUUAUUGGGCGUAAAGAGCUCGUAGGCGGUGUGUCACGUCGGCCGUGAAAACCUGCAGCUUAACUGUGGGCGUGCGGUCGAUACGGGCAUCACUGGAGUUCGGCAGGGGAGACUGGAAUUCCUGGUGUAGCGGUGAAAUGCGCAGAUAUCAGGAGGAACACCGGUGGCGAAGGCGGGUCUCUGGGCCGAUACUGACGCUGAGGCGCGAAAGCGUGGGGAGCAAACCGG
rnacentral:rRNA from 1 species